rnacentral:lncRNA from 1 species
GUCUUGUGGCUGCGGCCUGCCCCUCAGCCUCCUCCGCGCGGUUACCCCUGUACCCGCCGCCAUCCGUCCUGGCGCUCCGGAUGAGUCAAUGAGGGGCAGGGCCCGAGGAGUGGUCUUCCCAAGAACCCCUGGUGGCCUCCCAAGGCCGGUGCUGUGUACCUCCUCCCCGACAAAAGGGGAAACUGAGGCCCCGAGGGGAGUGGGAAGAGCCGGCUGGACGUCAGGCCCAGCCGCUGGUGCAGUGGUCCGUCCCCUCUGCCGGGGUGGGCCCCUCGGGUUUCGCGUGUCCUCGGGAAAGAGACUGGCGGGCCUCGUGGGCUGUGCGGCUAUCCUGGAGACAGAUGACAGCUCUCCCUUGGAUGGCUUUGCUGGUUCCGCACCAGCCAGCGCCCCCAUUUUUCCUGCAGCACCCUGAUCUGCACUCCCUGAGGGGCUCCCACUGUCCGCGGUGUGAGGAUGUCCCUGGAUAGUCCACUGUGUGCAGAGGCAUGGGAGUUGUCAUGUUGGGAACAUGCUAGACCUCAGUAUCCUUGAGGGAUGCUGCCUUGGGUCUGGAAACUGUUAGAGGAAACCCCAAGAGGUGCAGGCACUGAGCCUCUCAGGACAAUGACCUGGGGUCCCAGCUCCCCUGGAGGGGCCUCCUCAUGCACAACAUUAUUCGACUUUUCCCUCAGCGUGGGUGGGCAGAGGAAAAGCCCUGUGGCUCUGGGGACUUGGGAUCCAGAGUUGAAGACCCUUCAGCUGGCUCUGCCCUGCCAGUGCCACAGAGUGCCAUGGCCCAGGAAGACAGGUUUUCUUCCAUCUAGGCCAGGCCAUCCAGUGGCCAUCCUCCGUGUCCUCCCGCCUCCUCCUGGUGUGACUUCUGAAAACCAAGAAUUUGUUCCUGUUGACUUUUUCUGUGCUAUGGACCAUUGUCCUCUCACCCACUCAAUAAAUCUUGAAACAUG